GGGUUGUGAGGUUAAGCGACUAAGCGUACACGGUGGAUGCCCUGGCAGUCAGAGGCGAUGAAGGACGUGCUAAUCUGCGAAAAGCGUCGGUAAGGUGAUAUGAACCGUUAUAACCGGCGAUGUCCGAAUGGGGAAACCCAGUGCAAUUCGUUGCACUAUCGUUAACUGAAUACAUAGGUUAACGAGGCGAACCGGGGGAACUGAAACAUCUAAGUACCCCGAGGAAAAGAAAUCAACCGAGAUUCCCCCAGUAGCGGCGAGCGAACGGGGAGCAGCCCAGAGUCUGAAUCAGCUUGUGUGUUAGUGGAACGGUCUGGAAAGUCCGACGGUACAGGGUGAUAGUCCCGUACACCAAAAUGCACAGGCUGUGAACUCGAAGAGUAGGGCGGGACACGUGGUAUCCUGUCUGAAUAUGGGGGGACCAUCCUCCAAGGCUAAAUACUCCUGACUGACCGAUAGUGAACCAGUACCGUGAGGGAAAGGCGAAAAGAACCCCGGCGAGGGGAGUGAAAAAGAACCUGAAACCGUGUACGUACAAGCAGUGGGAGCACCUUCGGGUGUGACUGCGUACCUUUUGUAUAAUGGGUCAGCGACUUAUAUUCUGUAGCAAGGUUAACCGUAUAGGGGAGCCGCAGGGAAACCGAGUCUUAACUGGGCGUUAAGUUGCAGGGUAUAGACCCGAAACCCGGUGAUCUAGCCAUGGGCAGGUUGAAGGUUGGGUAACACUAACUGGAGGACCGAACCGACUAAUGUUGAAAAAUUAGCGGAUGACUUGUGGCUGGGGGUGAAAGGCCAAUCAAACCGGGAGAUAGCUGGUUCUCCCCGAAAGCUAUUUAGGUAGCGCCUCGUGAAUUCAUCUUCGGGGGUAGAGCACUGUUUCGGCUAGGGGGUCAUCCCGACUUACCAACCCGAUGCAAACUACGAAUACCGAAGAAUGUUAUCACGGGAGACACACGGCGGGUGCUAACGUCCGUCGUGAAGAGGGAAACAACCCAGACCGCCAGCUAAGGUCCCAAAGUCAUGGUUAAGUGGGAAACGAUGUGGGAAGGCACAGACAGCCAGGAUGUUGGCUUAGAAGCAGCCAUCAUUUAAAGAAAGCGUAAUAGCUCACUGGUCGAGUCGGCCUGCGCGGAAGAUGUAACGGGGCUAAACCAUGCACCGAAGCUGCGGCAGCGACACUAUGUGUUGUUGGGUAGGGGAGCGUUCUGUAAGCCUGCGAAGGUGUGCUGUGAGGCAUGCUGGAGGUAUCAGAAGUGCGAAUGCUGACAUAAGUAACGAUAAAGCGGGUGAAAAGCCCGCUCGCCGGAAGACCAAGGGUUCCUGUCCAACGUUAAUCGGGGCAGGGUGAGUCGACCCCUAAGGCGAGGCCGAAAGGCGUAGUCGAUGGGAAACAGGUUAAUAUUCCUGUACUUGGUGUUACUGCGAAGGGGGGACGGAGAAGGCUAUGUUAGCCGGGCGACGGUUGUCCCGGUUUAAGCAUGUAGGCUGGUUAUCCAGGCAAAUCCGGAUAAUCAAGGCUGAGGUGUGAUGACGAGGCACUACGGUGCUGAAGUAACAAAUGCCCUGCUUCCAGGAAAAGCCUCUAAGCAUCAGGUAACAUUAAAUCGUACCCCAAACCGACACAGGUGGUCAGGUAGAGAAUACCAAGGCGCUUGAGAGAACUCGGGUGAAGGAACUAGGCAAAAUGGUGCCGUAACUUCGGGAGAAGGCACGCUGGUGUGUAGGUGAAGUCCCUGCGGAUGGAGCUGAGACCAGUCGAAGAUACCAGCUGGCUGCAACUGUUUAUUAAAAACACAGCACUGUGCAAACACGAAAGUGGACGUAUACGGUGUGACGCCUGCCCGGUGCCGGAAGGUUAAUUGAUGGGGUUAUCCGUAAGGAGAAGCUCUUGAUCGAAGCCCCGGUAAACGGCGGCCGUAACUAUAACGGUCCUAAGGUAGCGAAAUUCCUUGUCGGGUAAGUUCCGACCUGCACGAAUGGCGUAAUGAUGGCCAGGCUGUCUCCACCCGAGACUCAGUGAAAUUGAACUCGCUGUGAAGAUGCAGUGUACCCGCGGCAAGACGGAAAGACCCCGUGAACCUUUACUAUAGCUUGACACUGAACAUUGAGCCUUGAUGUGUAGGAUAGGUGGGAGGCUUUGAAGCGUGGACGCCAGUCUGCGUGGAGCCAACCUUGAAAUACCACCCUUUAAUGUUUGAUGUUCUAACGUUGGCCCCUGACCGGGGUUGCGGACAGUGUCUGGUGGGUAGUUUGACUGGGGCGGUCUCCUCCCAAAGCGUAACGGAGGAGCACGAAGGUUAGCUAAUCCUGGUCGGACAUCAGGAGGUUAGUGCAAUGGCAUAAGCUAGCUUGACUGCGAGCGUGACGGCGCGAGCAGGUGCGAAAGCAGGUCAUAGUGAUCCGGUGGUUCUGAAUGGAAGGGCCAUCGCUCAACGGAUAAAAGGUACUCCGGGGAUAACAGGCUGAUACCGCCCAAGAGUUCAUAUCGACGGCGGUGUUUGGCACCUCGAUGUCGGCUCAUCACAUCCUGGGGCUGAAGUAGGUCCCAAGGGUAUGGCUGUUCGCCAUUUAAAGUGGUACGCGAGCUGGGUUUAGAACGUCGUGAGACAGUUCGGUCCCUAUCUGCCGUGGGCGCUGGAGAAUUGAGGGGGGCUGCUCCUAGUACGAGAGGACCGGAGUGGACGCAUCACUGGUGUUCGGGUUGUCAUGCCAAUGGCACUGCCCGGUAGCUAAAUGCGGAAGAGAUAAGUGCUGAAAGCAUCUAAGCACGAAACUUGCCCCGAGAUGAGUUCUCCCUGAGACUUUAAGUCUCCUGAAGGAACGUU
rnacentral:rRNA from 1 species